rnacentral:rRNA from 1 species
GAUGAACGCUAGCGGCAGGCUUAAUACAUGCAAGUCGAGGGGCAGCAUGACUGUAGCAAUACAGUUGAUGGCGACCGGCAAACGGGUGCGGAACACGUACAGAACCUUCCUUCGAGCGGGGAAUAGCCCAGAGAAAUUUGGAUUAAUACCCCAUAGCAUAUUGAUGAGGCAUCUCAUUAAUAUUAAAGAUUUAUCACUUGAAGAUGGCUGUGCGGCUGAUUAGGUAGUUGGCGGGGUAACGGCCCACCAAGCCUUCGAUCAGUAACUGGUGUGAGAGCACGACCAGUCACACGGGCACUGAGACACGGGCCCGACUCCUACGGGAGGCAGCAGUAAGGAAUAUUGGUCAAUGGACGAAAGUCUGAACCAGCCAUGCCGCGUGAAGGAUGAAUGCCCUCUGGGUUGUAAACUUCUUUUAUAUGGGACGAAAAAAGAUCUUUCUAGGUCACCUGACGGUACCAUAUGAAUAAGCACCGGCUAACUCCGU